rnacentral:rRNA from 1 species
UCCUACGGGGCGCAGCAGUGGGGGAUAUUGCACGAUGGGGGAAACCCUGAUGCAGCGACGCCGCGUGUGGGAAGACGGUCUUCUGGAUUGUAAACCACUGUCCCCAGGGACGAAAAUGACGGUACCUGGGGAGGAAGCUCCGGCUAACUACGUGCCAGCAGCCGCGGUAAUACGUCGGGAGCAAGCGUUGUCCGGAAUUACUGGGUGUAAAGGGAGCGUAGGCGGGGAUGCAAGUUGUGUGUCACAACUACCG